GAGACACUGGGGCCUGCAAGCGGUGGAAUCGAGUGGGUGUGGGAGUUAGUCGGAGGUACGUGGCGUAAGGCGUGCUGCGGGGGGUAAUGAAGUCAAAUGUGAGAUCCCCGAGCUUAACGUGGGAAUGGCAUUCGAUACUGGUUGGCUAGAGUAUGGGAGAGGAUGGUAGAAUUCCAGGUGUAGCGGUGAAAUGCGUAGAGAUCUGGAGGAAUACCGAUGGCGAAGGCAGCCAUCUGGCCUAAUACUGACACUGAGGUGCGAAAGCAUGGGGAGCAAACAGGAUUAGAUACCCGGGUAGUC
rnacentral:rRNA from 1 species